rnacentral:misc_RNA from 1 species
GUUUAACAACUUCCACCAUACAUUCCUGUUCAUUUCUCUGGUUUGGCUAUUUAGAUGCGUAAACAACGUGGGUUUCUUGUGUUGCAUACCUUGUGUAGGUUUUGAUCUGGCUUAUCAGACUUCUUUUCAUCUCUUGUCAUGCUACGACACCUGAUGAACCAUARRCGUGUCUCUCUGAACCAUAUCAUUAACCGGUGUGUUGAUGUAGUGGAGCAUUGAGACUUGCCUGGUCUCUUUGAUGUAGUACCUGAUGUGGGCAUGGGUCUUAUGGGAUCCUUGUUUAGUGUUUCCGCAUAGUAAGUUGACUGCUUGACACGCGUUGGCUAGUACAUCGUGUCAGGCAUUGUCUACGAGGAAAGUUACCUGGU